rnacentral:rRNA from 1 species
GGCUGCAACUCGCCUACAUGAAGUUGGAAUUGCUAGUAAUCAUAGGUCAGCAUACUGCGGUGAAUACGUUCCCGGGUCUUGUACACACCGCCCGUCACACCAUGGGAGCCGGAAAUGCCCGAAGCCAGUGACCCAACCUUAGGGAGGGAGCUGUCGAAGGUAGAGCCAAUGAUUGGGGUGAAGUCGUAACAAGGUACC